UACGUAGGGGGCAAGCGUUGUCCGGAUUUACUGGGCGUAAAGAGCGUGUAGGCGGCCACGCAGGUCCGUUGUGAAAACUGGAGGCUCAACCUCCAGCUGUCGACGGAAACCGUAUGGCUAGAGUCCGGAAGAGGAGAGUGGAAUUCCUGGUGUAGCGGUGAAAUGCGCAGAUAUCGGGAAGAACACCCGUGGCGAAGGCGGCUCUCUGGGACGGUACCGACGCUGAGACGCGAAAGCGUGGGGAGCGAACAGG
rnacentral:rRNA from 1 species